UACGUAGGGGGCCAGCGUUGUUCGGAAUUACUGGGUGUAAAGGGUUCGUAGGUGGUGCGGCAAGUUGGGAGUGAAAUCUCUGGGCUUAACCCAGAGGCUGCUUUCAAAACUGCCGUGCUCGAGUGCGAGAGAGGCGAGUGGAAUUGUAGGUGUAGCGGUGAGAUGCGUAGAUAUCUGCAGGAACACCCGAGGCGAAAGCGGCUCGCUGGAUCGCAACUGACGCUGAGGGACGAAAGCUAGGGGAGCAAACAGG
rnacentral:rRNA from 1 species